UGAGGAAUUUUCCGCAAUGAGCGAAAGCUUGACGGAGCAAUACCGCGUGGAGGACGAAGGCUCAUGGGUCGUAAACUCCUUUUCUUAGGGAAGAAUUUUGACGGUACCUAAGGAAUAAGCAUCGGCUAAUUCCGUGCCAGCAGCCGCGGUAAGACGGGAGAUGCAAGCGUUAUUCGGAUUUAUUGGGCGUAAAGGGUCUGUAGGUUGUUGGUUAAGUCUAUGGUCAAAUUCCGAAGCUCAACUUCGGGCCGGCACUAGAAACUAAUCAACUUGAGUACGUUAGAGGCAGGGGGAAUUCCCAGUGUAGCGGUGAAAUGCGUAGAUAUUGGGAGGAACAUCAAUGGCGAAGGCACCCUGCUAGGCCGAUACUGACACUGAAAGACGAAAGCUAGGGGAGCAAAUGGGAUUAGAUACCCCAGUAGUCCUAGCUGUAAACGAUGGGGACUAAACUUUGGUUUUAAGAAUCAGAGUUAAAGCUAACGCGUUAAGUCCCCCGCCUGGGGAGUACGCCCGCAAGAGUG
rnacentral:rRNA from 1 species